rnacentral:rRNA from 1 species
AACGAACGCUGGCGGCAUGCCUAACACAUGCAAGUCGAACGAUGGUCUUCGGAUCAUAGUGGCGCACGGGUGCGGAACGCGUGGGAAUCUGCCCUUGGGUUCGGAAUAACAGUUGGAAACGACUGCUAAUACCGGAUGAUGUCGAUAAGACCAAAGAUUUAUCGCCCGAGGAUGAGCCCGCGUCGGAUUAGCUAGUUGGUGGGGUAAAGGCCUACCAAGGCGACGAUCCGUAGCUGGUCUGAGAGGAUGAUCAGCCACACUGGGACUGAGACACGGCCCAGACUCCUCCGGGAGGGAGCAGUGGGGAAGAUGGGACACUGGGCGCAAGCCUGAUCCAGCCAGGCCGCGUGAGUGAUGAAGGCCUUAGGGUUGUAAAGCUCUUUUACCCGGGAAGAUAAUGACUGUACCGGGAGAAUAAGCCCCGGCAAACUCCGU